AGUGGACGCUGGCGGUAGGCCUAACACAUGCAAGUCGAACGGCAGCACAGUAAGAGCUUGCUCUUACGGGUGUCGAGUGGCGGACGGGUGAGGUAUACAUCGGAUUCUACUUUUUCGUGGGGGCUAACGUAGGGAAACUUACGCUAAUACCGCAUACGACCUACGGGUGAAAGCAGGGGUUCUUCGGACCUUGCGCGAUUGAAUGAGCCGAUGUCGGAUUAGCUGGUUGGCUGGGUAAAGGCCCACCAAGGCGACGAUCCGUAGCUGGUCUGAGAGGAUGAUCAGCCGCUCGGGAACGAGGACACGGAGCAAAAUCGGACGGGAGGCAGCAGCGGGAAAUAUUGGAGAGUGGGCAGAAGCGUAUACCAGCCAUACCGCGUAGGUGAAGAAGGCCUACGGGUCGUAAAGGCCUUUUGUUGGGAAAGAAAAGCGGCAGGUUAAUACCGCGCUGUUCUGACGGUACCCAAGGAAUAAGCACCGGCUAACUUCGU
rnacentral:rRNA from 1 species